rnacentral:rRNA from 2 species
GACGAACCGUGCGAACGUUGUUCGGAAUCACUGGGCUUAAAGGGCGCGUAGGCGGUUGGUCAAGUCAGGGGUGAAAUCUUUCGGCUCAACCGGAAAACUGCCUUUGAUACUGACUGGCUGGAGGGAGAUAGGGGUUGCGGGAACUACCAGUGGAGCGGUGAAAUGCGUUGAUAUUGGUAGGAACGCCGGUGGCGAAAGCGCGCAACUGGAUCUCUUCUGACGCUGAGGCGCGAAAGCUAGGGGAGCAAACGGG